rnacentral:misc_RNA from 1 species
UUUCCGUAGGUGAACCUGCGGAAGGAUCAUUACUGAGGUAUGCUUUGGUGUUUGCGUCUAGCACGUGACACCGGUUACCCGUCCACAUGUCAUCAGUGCUGGGAUCCCUGCCUGCCUCUUGGGGCUGGCGGGGGGAACAGAAAAGUUCACUUCGGUCGAGGUGUUGCGCCUCCUCUCCGUAACGGGAGGGAGACGUGACCGCGGCCGGCCGCAAUUUAACACUCUUGUGAGAGCAUGAAGUCUGAAAUGAAAAUGAAAAAUUAAGCAAAACUUUCAACAACGGAUCUCUUGGCUCUGGCAUCGAUGAAGAACGCAGC